rnacentral:rRNA from 1 species
CUACGGGUUGCUCCAGUGGGGAAUUUUGCGCAAUGGGGGAAACCCUGACGCAGCGAUACCGCGUGAGUGAAGAAGGCCUUUGGGUCGUAAAGCUCUUUUCUAAGGGAAGAUAGUGACGGUACCUUAGGAAUAAGCGCCGGCUAACUCCGUGCCGGCAGCCGCGGUAAUACGGAGGGCGCGAGCGUUGUUCGGAUUUACUGGGCGUAAAGGGCGCGUAGGCGGCCUGGCAAGUUAAGGGUGAAAUCCCGGGGCUUAACCCCGGAACUGCUCUUAAAACUGCCAAGCUAGAGAUGGUCAGAGGCGGGUGGAAUUCCAGGUGUAGAGGUGAAAUUCGUAGAUAUCUGGAGGAACACCGGUGGCGAAGGCGGCCCGCUGGGGCCAUUCUGACGCUGAGGCGCGAAAGCGUGGGGAGCGAACGGGAUUAGAUACCCCUGUAGUC